UGUAUUUUCUUAAACAAAGGCAAUAUUGUCGAUUGCCCAAUCAUAUCAUUCAUUCUCUGCGGCAGCAAUGGAGUCUUUGACCAGAAGAAGAACACAAGUGGGGAUCUUCGUGUUGUUGUUUAUUUUCAUUAGCUUAAAUCAGCUCUCAGUUACAAUUUAUUCAGCUCCGUAUGAUAACGAGUUAAUCAACAGUCAUUUGAGGAAGUUGCUAGCAAGACCACCCCGAACCAGGCCUCCUCCACCUAAGGCAAAUCCUAGUAAGCAGUUUGAAGUCCCUCCUCCUGGACCCCCUCCUCCUGAUAAUGGGCAAUGAUGAUGUUUUGAAGAUUUUGGUUAAUCUAUGGUUGAAGAUCAAGAAUAAUACAAACCGGGUGAGUACAUAAGGCGGUCUUCAGAGAGUUCAAAGUUGCUUGAAAUUUAGUUAUUGUUCCGAAGAUUUUCAACAUACAAGAAAACAAAAAUGGCCUGCUGAAAUGAAAUCACGCCAUUAUCAAUUUAGAAAAAGUUUAGUCAAAAUUUAAAAUUCAUUAAAGUAGACUGAUCAAGUCAUAAUCUAAAGGGUUAAUCUAUCUAGAUAUUUCCUAACUACUUGUAUUAUUUAAAUAAUUAAAUAUGAGAUUUAGCAUGGUCUUUGU